UACUCUUUCAGUGUUUCGACUAUAUGACGUGUUUGUUGACACAUUUUAAACAUUUCUAAGUGCUUGAAAAAAUACUAUAGUUUGUUUGUGCUGUUUAACGUUGUAAACGCUUGAAUUUUUAUAAAUUUUCAGUAUAAAAAAAGGGUAAAACGAGACCCUCGCUCUGCAUCUGGUGUUGCUGCUCAGGGAAACCACCACUACCACCACCACCUCCGCUUCCAGGAGCACCACAAUUGCCACCUCCUCCUGGAUUACCUUGUCCACCGCCUGAGAACAGAAAGAAUCCAUCCAACAUUUGCUAUGUCUAUCUCGCCAGAUGACUUGGUUGUCAAAAAUGUUACAAAUGUUUCUUUUCCUUUUCUUUUCAUCGCAAUUUAUGAUGAUGAGGAUGAUUUAAAAAUAGGGUAUCAGGAUUUAGAAACAAUUAAUCAAUGAUUUUGAUAGAAAGGUGUCAAGAACUCGCCAGGGCUACCACCCGACGGUGGCUGAGGUCCUUGGCCUGAAGGUCCUGUGAGAAAUUCCGACGGGCCGCCUGCGGCGCCUGGUGGUGGAUAUUCCCCUGCAACUGCUGCUGCCGCUGCCAUUCCCGCUAUACUAGCUGGGUCAAGACCUGUCACAAACAAGUUUGGAACUGAUCAGACAAUAUCUUGUCAAGUUCUCAUCGCCGAAUAUCCUGCCAAUAUUCAACUUGAUGUUAUUAUCGAAAUAUGUAGAGACCAAGUUGUAUUUAUUUACAUAAUUGUACACCAUCUUCUCAAGAAAAAGAACAAAAAACUGAAUGGCGAUAAUCGCCGUGUAUUAGACCCAACAGUGGUGCUUUUAAUAGAUUUUUAACGGUUUCAACAGUAACAUCUUAUUUGAUGCGUACAUAGUCAUCAUUCGUGGUUAAUACUUGUUAUAACAGUUAUGAUAACUAUGAAAUUAUAAUCAUACAGUUGUUGUAAUAAUUUUUUUUUAAUAUUUUUAAGUGAUUAGCAGGACCUCCAAAUGGUGGUCCAUGUGGAUGAGGAGGACCAUGAGUACCGAAGAAUUCAUGAUGAAAGGUAACUGGACCACCAUAUCCAAACUCAAACUUAUCAGCUGGAAAAUAUGGAAAACCUGGAGGUGGUCCAUCAUCACCACCCAAUGCACCAUGAUUGAGAUUCAAUGGAAAACCUCUCAUUUUUCUAGAAUUAGUGAAAAAUGGUCCUCUUCCCAUUGUGUUGUAGGCCGGCGUCUUUGGCCAGGCGCUUCUCUACAGCGAGCGGGUUGCUUGCGGUCGACUGUCGGCUUGCGACAAAAGGGAACCCGCUGCGUAACGUAACGACCCUCGUAUUCGUUUCACGGUUACAAAACCUCACGAAACUCAAAUCCAAGUCUGAGAAAAGAAAAUGGAACUGAAAAAGAUGUUGGAACAUGGAAUUUUCUUGUAUUUAUCUAUGCUUUUACAUUGAAUUCAUCAAGUAUUAUAUUUAUGAUAAGCUUUUACUACCCGUCGGCGAUCAAUUUCCUAUUUGGUUUGAAAUCAAGUUGAUUCUAAAGGGGUCCAGAAGCAACAUAAAAAAAAUAGAAUAACUAGCUACCACAUAUCCCUUUUUCAACCCUUAUAAUUCCAACGCGUUAAAGCAUAAAGUUGUCAGAGUUUGUAUAUUGUUAUGAUUAUUUUAAACUUUUUUUUAUUUAUAAUACACUUUCUGAUGUUUUUUAUACAAGUUUUGUAAUGUUUUAUUUUUGUUCCAUGGGGAUUAAAUGAUGUAUCAAGUAAAGGAAUAAGAAAAUUCUAACAAAUCAUCGGAGCGUUUUCUAAUCCUUUGAGAGAAGAUUGACUUUAACGUGAGUUUUAUUAUUUACACGUGGAUACCCUGUGGAUGGAUAACUUACCAUGA